rnacentral:rRNA from 1 species
UUAGUGGCGAACGGGUGAGUAACACGUGGGCAAUCUGCCCUGCACUCUGGGACAAGCCCUGGAAACGGGGUCUAAUACCGGAUACUGAUCGCCUUGGGCAUCCUUGGUGAUCGAAAGCUCCGGCGGUGCAGGAUGAGCCCGCGGCCUAUCAGCUUGUUGGUGAGGUAAUGGCUCACCAAGGCGACGACGGGUAGCCGGCCUGAGAGGGCGACCGGCCACACUGGGACUGAGACACGGCCCAGACUCAUACGGGAGGCAGCAGUGGGGAAUAUUGCACAAUGGGCGAAAGCCUGAUGCAGCGACGCCGCGUGAGGGAUGACGGCCUUCGGGUUGUAAACCUCUUUCAGCAGGGAAGAAGCGAAAGUGACGGUACCUGCAGAAGAAGCGCCGGCUAACUACGUGCCAGCAGCCGCGGUAAUACGUAGGGCGCGAGCGUUGUCCGGAAUUAUUGGGCGUAAAGAGCUCGUAGGCGGCUUGUCGCGUCGUUUGUGAAAGCCCGGGGCUUAACCCCGGGUCUGCAGUCGAUACGGGCAGGCUAGAGUUCGGUAGGGAAGAUCGGAAUUCCUGGUGUAGCGUGAAAUGCGCAGAUAUCAGGAGGAACACCGGUGGCGAAGGCGGAUCUCUGGGCCGAUACUGACGCUGA